GUGCUCGCUUUGGCAGCACAUAUACUAAAAUUGGAACGAUACAGAGAAGAUUAGCAUGGCCCCUGCACAAGGAUGACAUGCAAAUUCGUGAAGUGUUCCAUAUUUUU
rnacentral:snRNA from 1 species